rnacentral:tmRNA from 1 species
GGGGGUGACAGGUUUCGACUUUGGCUAUCGAUGCAGGAGAAGCGAGCCGUGGUUUCCGGAUCCACGUAAAAGAGUCGGAACAAGCAAUAAACGACGAGUCACAACUCCCUCUCGCUGCAUAAACAGCGACGUUCAGCCGUUCUAAGCCCCACAGGGCGGAUCUGUGCGACGAAUAGUGGGGCUUGCGACGGAUGUUCUUCCCAGAGACAGCCGCUGGACACCUUUUUGGGAUAAGCCUUCGGGUAGGCGAUAGAGGUUGCCGAAGGUCGAAAAUUACUCUCUAUCUGUGCUCGAAGAAGCCCUGCUGAGAAACUGAAGGAAACGAGUUCGAGUCUCGUCACCUCCACUC